UGCUGCCUGUGCUACUCCGUUUUUCAGCUUGUUCUUUCGUUUCGUGAUAGAACGGUGCAAAUAUUUCGCGCGAUCGCGACUCGCGAUAAUCCGCUCGACGAGAAGCGGGACGUGUUGGUCGGUUACUGCUUAACGACAACCUGGAACAACGAGUAAAAUACAUCGUCGUUCCGCGCGAGACACGUCUACGAAUGAAAACGCACGAGAUGCUGCCCCCCAGACCAGUGGACUCGCUCGACUCGCACUCUAUCGACACAAUUCGACCUGCCAACUCGUCCACAUUAUUACCGACGAUCUCUUAAUCGAGGCGGUCACGCGACUGCAAACGACACUAUCGUCGCGUGUCCAACAGUGUCCGGCAGCAUCUUCCUUCUUCCUCGAAAGAAGAAUCGGCAAACGGAAGUUCGUCGCGUUGUAAAUCGUUUCGGUAGAAUCAUUUACGUUGCGAAAAUUAGUCGUUUCGCGUCUGUAAAUCAAUUUAACGAGGGCAACGGUUGUGCGAGCGCGGACGUGUAAUUUUCAAUCGAUCACGGAAACACGGUGCGCGGUCGAGUGAUCGUACAAUCAUCGAUUAAGUCGUCGGAGUAAAUAGGUUAACAGUGUGCCGCACGAGAGAGCGAUUCGCGAGCAAAACAGGUGGAUCAUUUCACAGAUCGGAUGAAAAAAUGAUCGCUUAAGUCGAAGGAAUAAUCGAUGAUUGAUAAUGGCGAUGGAUAAAAUUCGAGAGAAUCGAGCGGCUGAUCAUCGUGAGAUAUUAUAUAACCGGUGCAUAACGAUGAAAAAUUAUUUCGGAGAGUAUAUCGGCGAGGGGUCGAUAAAAAUGAGGGCCACGAACGCGAGCGCGGUUUCUUAAAUAGUACACCGAAUCUCGAAUGUGUCCGACAAUAAAUCAAUGGAUCGGCCGCUGUGCAAUUAGAGUAAUUACGAAUAUAUAUUGUAUUUUCGAUUGUUUCGUAGAUCGAUGAGUACGGUAUUAGAAAAUAAUUAAUACAAUAAAUAUAACAGAGGAAUUACGUGAAUUAAAAAACGCAUUCGAUCUCUACGGCAAUAUUAAAACGAGAUAAAUGAGAUCGAUAUAAAGCAGGACACCAUUGACUAUAUAUAUUGUGUGAUAUUGGCGAUAUAUUUUUUAUCAGUGAAAAUAUUCGUUUUAAAGUGAUAUCGUGAAGCAGAGAUUUGCUCAACUAUUUUUACUCGGGGAAAUUAGUGAGAAACUUCUUGGGAAACACCGAUAAUCAUAGGGACAAAAACUGCGAGCGGCAGGAGGAGGCGAAGCCUCCCGCCGCAAAAACAAUGUCGAUCGAAAACUAAUCCGAGGCGGCUACCAUAGCCUCGGCAUACCAUACUAGCACGAUGAAACUUUAGAAUUUGGGGCUGUGUUGAGGCGUGUACUGUUCGUGGUUGGAAAGAUGGCUGGACGCAGGAACAAGAAACGUGCUCUGCUUUCUCCUCCUUCGAUCCGUAAAUAUCCUGUCAACAGAAGAUGGUUCUUCUGCGUUAGACCAAUCAGACCUACAUUUCAACUGCAAACAAUAAUAUGACUUCUGAGUUAGGAUGAUUGUGUGAUUCGAAAAAAACUGCAUAAUCUCAUAAUGAAAAUGACCAUCUUCACCUAUUUACGGUUCUUCGAAUUUUAAUCGCGUUCUUACUAAUACGCUGUGCUCUGUCCCGAAGGUUCGAAAAUAUUUCAGUUCGCUUCUUCAACGUGUGCAAUUAUUCAUCUAUGAUCAUGACGAUAAUUUUCACGUCUGCCUUGACAUACGAAAUAUUAUAUAUAACAAAAAAGGUUAAUUUAAAGAUAUCGUGCUUGUCUCAUUUUAUUUAUACAUAAAAGAUAAAAUGUUAAAGACAGUCGCUCGUAAAUGAAGAGAGAUAAGCAAAAUUGUUUCAUGUAUGUUUUUCAUGAGUAAAUAAUAUUUACUUAAAUUAUAUACGAUCACAGAGGAGAAUGCUAUUAGCAUAAUUACAUGUGGUACAUAUCU